GGACAAAUAACAUCGGUAAAGAAGUUUAUAAAGAACCAUAUAAUAUUUCUCUCGAGUUUCUAUGGCUGUUGAAGGUAUCAAGUGCAAGAGUAUGACGAACCGGAACGAGGAGGUCAUUAAAUAUUUUUAGUGAAUUCAACGGAUUUCUUUUGGAUAAGUUCGAUAGGGUUACAGAGCACCAUACCGUACUUCAGUAUUAGGCAAACGAAGGCACAGUAAUGAGAUUUCAAGGGAACGCCAGACGUUACUUACGUGAAAUGGGGAAAACGAAUCCAAGGACUUUAAAGGUUCUACAACACACAAAGUGGAUGUGUUUAUUAGGACACGUAAUAGUGGUAAGAGUAAAACCUAAGUCCGCAUUACAUCACGAGAAAAAGUAAUGGAAAGAUUUUUUAUGUGAUAGACGUAUGGUAUAUGAGCUUCGGCGGUUUAAAGACAUUACU